ACUUAGGGGGCUUGUAUCGGUCUCAGUUGCCGCCACCAUGGCCAGUCAGUCGCAGGGCAUCCAGCAGCUGCUGCAGGUCGAGAAGUGGGCUGCCGAGAAGGUGUCCGAGGCCCGCAAGAGGAAGAACAGGAGGUUGAAGCAGGCCAAAGAAGAAGCUCAGGCUGAAAUUGAACAGUACCACCUGCAGAGGAAGAAAGAGUUCAAGGCCAAGGAAGCUGCAGCUCUGGGAUCCCAUGGCAGCUGCAGCUCUGAAGUGGAGAAGGAGACCCAGGAGAAGAUGACCAUCCUCCAGACCUACUUCUGGCAGAACAGGGAUGAAGUCUUGGAUAACCUCUUGGCCUUUGUGUGUGACAUCCGUCCAGAAAUCCAUGAAAACUACCACAUAAAUGAAUAGGGGAAGAUCAGCAUUUUGGAUGCCUUCAUAGAAUAUGAAGCUUUAGCAAAGCUCAAGUUUGACUCCUAUG